UGGGGAAUUUUGGACAAUGGGGGAAACCCUGAUCCAGCCAUCCCGCGUGUGCGAUGAAGGCCUUCGGGUUGUAAAGCACUUUUGGCAGGAAAGAAACGUCGCGGGUUAAUACCCCGCGAAACUGACGGUACCUGCAGAAUAAGCACCGGCUAACUACGUGCCAGCAGCCGCGGUAAUACGUAGGGUGCAAGCGUUAAUCGGAAUUACUGGGCGUAAAGCGUGCGCAGGCGGUUCGGAAAGAAAGAUGUGAAAUCCCAGAGCUUAACUUUGGAACUGCAUUUUUAACUACCGGGCUAGAGUGUGUCAGAGGGAGGUGGAAUUCCGCGUGUAGCAGUGAAAUGCGUAGAUAUGCGGAGGAACACCGAUGGCGAAGGCAGCCUCCUGGGAUAACACUGACGCUCAUGCACGAAAAGCGUGGGGAGCAAACAGGAUUAGAUACCCUGGUAGUCCACGCCCUAAACGAUGUCAACUAGCUGUUGGGGCCUUCGGGCCUUGGUAGCGCAGCUAACGCGUGAAGUUGACCGCCUGGGGAGUACGGUCGCAAGAUUAAAAACUUAAUC
rnacentral:rRNA from 1 species